CCCACUUCUAUGGAGGACGCUUUGAAUUCUCUCCUAUUAAUUUCAACCGAUUGAAGAGUGACUCAUUAUCAAGUGCACCGCCAACUUAAGUUACAACAUAGAAAAUAACAUCAUGUUUACUACCAUGAUUCUCGGAACGAAAUAUUUCCAUGACCUAUACGAGUCGACAUCUUUGUUCUCCGUGUGAAGGUCCAGGUGACUGGAAAAUACCUUAUACCUUAUGAGUAAAUUACUGAUAAAUUAAUUGCAUAUUUUACAACAGCAGACAAGAAAUUUCCAUAAUGAUAAUAUACUCUAUAAACCAAGUUUGUUUAAUAAAAAACUUAUAUGUUACAGCAAAA